rnacentral:lncRNA from 1 species
AAAUUAAGCGUGCACUCUCAACCAACAUACACAAAUCAUUUCUUAUACGAUCGGAUAAGUAAAUUGAAUUCACAACUUAUGAAUCACAACUAGAUGUAAUCAAAUCAUAUUGCAAGUAUGAACAUGGUUUCGAAUGACCCACUAACUAAGAGGAAUUUAGUUCCUCAUACUCACAAAGAAAAGAUACAUAAAAUUAGACAUUAAAAUCAAAGGAAAGAAAACACCUAAAAUGCUCCAACUUGGGUAGCAAGUGCAUCCAAGAAUUCUCCUUUGCUUGCUUGCGGCAGAUUGCUUUGUGGACGAAUUUUUGGGUAGUUUUAUGAUGUAGAAUGGAUGGGGAAUGGUAUGGAAAGGUUUAGGGUAAGUGUGGAGGAGUGUUUGAGGGUUGGAGGGUGGUGGAGAACUAGGCAAAGAGGGUGGAAGAAGGUGGAGUGGCUGUUAUGUUUUCUAGGCACUAGAAUGGUGUUUUUGGGGUGUUU